UCCCCAUAAGCUAGCCCGCCCACUCAAAACCACCAAUUCAACAUCAACAACCCCAAACACACGAACUAAAACUAAACAAACCAUUUUCCCACCUCAGUACGGGAGACAGAAAAGGACCAAGGAGCAAUAGAGAAAGUACCGCAAGGGAAAGCUGAAAGAGAAAUGAAACAACCAACAAAGGAAAAAGAAGCAGAGAUUAAACCUCGUACCUUUUGCAUCAUGAAUUAGCCAGAAUCCCUCAAGCAAAGUGAACUUUAGUUUGAUUCCCCGAAACUAAGUGAGCUACUCCAAGACAGCCUAAUGUAGGGCAAACCCGUCUCUGUGGCAAAAGAGUGGGAAGAGCUUUGAGUAGAGGUGAUAAACCUACCGAACUUAGUUAUAGCUGGUUGCCUAAGAACUGGAUACAAGUUCAGCCUUUCAAUUUCUUUCGUUAAACCCGGCAACGCCCCCCUACAACCAAGAGAAAGUCGAAAGAGUUAGUCGAAGGGGGUACAGCCCCCUCGAAAUAAGAUACAACUUUACAUAGAAGGUCAAGGAUCAAAAUACUCCAGGCAAUAUGUCUCAGUGGGCCUAAAAGCAGCCACCGAAAUAGAAAGCGUUAAAGCUCAAACAUACCCUCCCCUAUUAUUACGACAAACACAUCCUAAACCCCUUAACCUAUUAGGCCACUCCAUGCAGCCAUGGAAGAGACCCUGCUAACAUGAGUAAUAAGAGGGCUAGACCCUCUCCUGGCACCAGUGUACAUCAGAACGGACCCCCCCACUGAAAACUAACGCCCCCAACCAAAGAGGGGACUGGAAAAGAACGAUCUAAAGCUAGAAAAACCUCCAGCAAAUAAGCGUUAACCCUACACAGGUGUGCCCCCGGAAAGACUUAAAGGAAAAGAAGGAACUCGGCAAACACUAGCCUCGCCUGUUUACCAAAAACAUCGCCUCUUGCACCCCUAGUAUAAGAGGUCACGCCUGCCCUGUGACUAUAAGUUUAACGGCCGCGGUAUUUUAACCGUGCGAAGGUAGCGCAAUCACUUGCCUUUUAAAUGAAGACCUGUAUGAAUGGCAUAACGAGGGCUAAGCUGUCUCCUUUCCCCAGUCAAUGAAAUUGAUCUGCCCGUGCAGAAGCGGGCAUAGUUACGUAAGACGAGAAGACCCUAUGGAGCUUUUAGACACCAGAACAGCCCACGUUAAACAACCCCUAAUAAAGGAACAAACCAAGUGACCACUGUUCCCAUGUCUUUGGUUGGGGCGACCGCGGGGGAAAAAAUAGCCCCCACGAGGAAUAGGGACACCCUCCCUUAAAAAAAGAGCCCCAGCUCUAAAAAACAGAACCUCUGACCAACAAGAUCCGGCACAGCCGAUCAACGGACCGAGUUACCCUAGGGAUAACAGCGCAAUCCCCUUCUAGAGCCCAUAUCGACAAGGGGGUUUACGACCUCGAUGUUGGAUCAGGACAUCCUAAUGGUGCAGCCGCUAUUAAGGGUUCGUUUGUUCAACGAUUAAAGUCCUACGUGAUCUGAGUUCAGACCGGAGAAAUCCAGGUCAGUUUCUAUCUACGAAACGUUCUCUUCUAGUACGAAAGGACCGAAAAGAAGAGGCCCCUGCUUUAGGCAAGCCUUCCCCUAACCUACUGACGGAAACUAAAGUAGACGAAAGGGCGUGCCCCUCUUGCCUGAGAAAAAGGCAU
rnacentral:rRNA from 1 species